rnacentral:rRNA from 1 species
UACGUAGGGGGCAAGCGUUGUCCGGAUUUAUUGGGCGUAAAGGGCGCGUAGGCGGUUUCUUAAGUUUGAAGUGACAGUGGGUGGCUUAACUACCCAAGGCCUUUGAAAACUGGGGAACUUGAGGACCAGAGAGGGACAUAGAAUUCCGGGUGGAGUGGUGAAAUGCGUAGAUAUCCGGAGGAAUACCAAAGGCGAAGGCAGUGUCCUGGAGGGUUAACUGACGCUGAGGCGCGAAAGCUAGGGGGAGCGAACAGG